AUAGCAACAGCAGCGUAGCUGAACAUCUUACGGAUGGCCCAGGGCUCCAAAGGCUCGUUUCCUAAGUGAGAGAGAGCCUGGCUGAAGCUGUAUUACCAUUCAUUCUCCAGCCUCCGAAGUCUCAAAGCAUCACUUCCACCAUACUCUAACUGUCAAGACAAACACAAAGGCCCAGAAACUGCCAGACUGUCUUCUGAAGUGGCUAUAAUAUUUACACUCCCAUCAGCAGUGUAGAAGGGGUCUCACUAUGUUGUCUGGAGUGCUGUGGUGGAGUGGAGUGGCUAUUCACAGAGCCUGUUCUGCUGGGACACAGAAUCACUUGCUCCAUCUCAUACAUUGAUGAUGAUUAAUUUGUAUGUGUACCUUCCAAAAAAGAUGGUUGUGUUUGAAUGGAGGCCUUCUGGACAGGAAAAUAAUCACAUCCUUCCUGAGAUAAUGAGCACACAAUUGCCUGGAUACCUGAAGGAAUGGAGACAGCGGCAGAAAACACUGCAGAGAGGUGGAAACAUCCGUUAAUAUUUUAAAAUCCCAUUACUGCUACCAACAAUAAUAAUGGAUGCAUAGAAAUAGAUCUGGAUUAGCUGAGCUUGAAACAGUCCAUCUCACACACACACAAAAGAAUUUCAGAUACAGUGAACCCACAUGUUGAAGCUUUCUAGUAUAAUAAAAAUUUCAACUGUUCUGUUGAAUCAUCUGCCUGAUUGGAGGCUACAGAAAAGAUGUCAUCUUAGGAGUGCUUGCUCUGAGUGAGGCUCAUCUUCAAAUCUGAAUGACCACAAGGAGAUUUGAUUAUACAUGUGAACACCUCAGAAGGCACAGCCCACCCAGAAGGCAGACAGAAGAAGCUGCCAGGAAGACUGUGAAAUCUUCAUGCCCAAGGAUCCCUAAAAUUAGGAGCAACAACCACUUGGCUCAGACGGUUUAUGGAGGCAAAGGUUUGGAUGGGAUUAGAGAUUUCUAAAUGUGAGUUCGUGUCCUCUGCCAGACCACCUUACUUCCACCAUUCCUCAGCAAAUCAAGAAAAACAGGAGAAAAGACAUGCCUUUCCAUAAGUUAAAUCUAUUCUGUUUUAAUUCUAUAUUAUAUCUGCUGUACAACUUCUUUUGUUUGUAACACCAUAUUGUUGCUAGUAACUGGAAAUUAAUUUUCACAUGCCUCAGCUUAGAAAAAUAAAAAGCAGCCCUGCAUCAAUCCCAA
rnacentral:lncRNA from 10 species